rnacentral:rRNA from 1 species
UGGCGGACGGGUGAGUAACGCGUAAAGAACUUGCCCUUUAGACUGGGAUAACAGAGGGAAACUUCUGAUAAUACUGGAUAAGUUAGUAUAUCGCAUGAUAUACAAAUGAAAGCUACGGCACUAAAGGAGAGCUUUGCGUCCUAUUAGCUAGUUGGUAAGGUAAGAGCUUACCAAGGCGAUGAUAGGUAGCCGGCCUGAGAGGGUGGACGGCCACAAGGGGACUGAGAUACGGCCCUUACUCCUACGGGAGGCAGCAGUC